UACGUAGGAGACGAGCGUUGUCCGGAGUUACUGGGCGUAAAGGGUGCGCAGGUGGCGGCGCGCGUGGGGGGUGAAAUCGCCCGGCUUAACUGGGCGGGGGCCUUCCAGACGGCGUGGCUUGAGCAGCGGAGGGGGACGUGGAAUUCCGGGUGGAGCGGUGAAAUGCGCAGAUAUCAGGAGGAACACCGAUGGCGAAGGCAGGUCUCUGGGCCACUACUGACGCUGAGAAGCGAAAGCAUGGGGAGCGAACAGG
rnacentral:rRNA from 1 species